rnacentral:rRNA from 1 species
UAUUUAAUUCUUUAAUAAUAUAUAAAUAUAGGUGAUAUAUUGAAAAAAGGUAUAUGAAAUGAAUAUUAUUUUAAGGAUCUAAAGUUAAUACUUAAAAGUGAUAAAAAGGUUAAAAUUUAACCAAUCAUAUCAUGAAAAUGAGUAAAGAGAAAUCAAGUGGAAUGAAACAUCUGAGUAACUUGAAAGUAACCAACAGGGGCUAUAUAAGUAACGGUGAGUGAAAGUAUAGUAGUCUAAAAGUAUUACCAAGAGGUAAGAAUAAAGUAGUAUCAACUACUAAGACGUAAAAUAAGUAUUAAACUAAAAGUACCGUAAGGGAAAAGGAGUAAAUAGAAUAAUAGAGAGCAGUUAUAGUAUAACGUACCUCUUGUAUAAUGGGCCAGUGAGUUAUAUAUAUUAGUGAAGUAAUUUAUAAAUAAAUUGAGUUUAAUCAAUCUAUAAUUAAUGUAUAUAGGCCCGAAAGCAAACGAUCUACACAUGUCCAAGUGUAUAUACGUCCGUUUUAAAAGAGCGGACCUUUAUAUGGCUGAAUAGGUGGAUGUAGCAAUAUUCUCUAAAGAGGUGUGUGUAGUAGUGACAGACAAAUCUGGUUUGCCGAUAGCUGGUUUUCUGCGAAAUAUAUUUUAGUAUAGCCUUUAUUUAAUUAUAAACUGGUACAGCACUUAAAUACCUUUGGGGGGUUAGAAUAUAACUUUAUCAAAAUAUUUAAAACUCGGAAUCAGUAUAUCAUUUAAUAAGGAGUCAGACUUAUUGCGAUAAGGUAGUAAGUCGAAAAGGAAACAACCUAGACUAUUAUAUGUAUGUCCCAAAUAUAUAUAUAUAAUUCUUUAUAAAUGAUACCCGCCACCAUUGGUGGCGGGUUCAUUCAUAACCCACCAUCAAAGAUGGAGGGAUAUAAAUUAUAUAAUUAUUAAGUGAACAAAAUCUAUAUUAUAAAUGAUAGACAAUCAGUCAGCGGGUUUGACAAUAAUCAUCUGUUAAUGGACAUGUAACAAUGCACUGAUAUGAUAUAGAUAUAUAUCAUUACUUUUAGUAAGAUAUAUAUUUUUCUUAUAAAUAGAGAAAAUAUACGGGUCUAAAUAUAUAACAGAAUAAUAGAUAUGUUAAUUUAACAUAUGGUAGCAGAAUAUAUAAUGUAAAAUUAUAAAGAUAUUGCUGGCUUGAGUAACGAUAGGUAAUAUAAGAUUACCCUCCUAAUUCAUAAGGUUUUACUAUAAAUGAACGGUCCCUAAGAUGAGUAUAGAAAUAUAUAGUUAAUGGGUGAAAGAACAAGAAAAUAAAAAAGAACCGUACUGUAGACCGACACAGGUAUGAUAAAGGAGAAUGAGAUAACUACUAUGAAUGAACUCGGCAAAUUAGCAUAAAGCUUUUAGUCGUGCGACUGUUUACCAAAAACAUAGCUUACUGCAUACUAGUAAUAGUAAGUAUAGUAAGUGAUAUCUGCCCGGUGUAUGCUUAAUAAAUAAUUUAGCUAAAUGGUUAAAUUAUAAAAAGCAUGUUAACGGCGGUCUUAUUGUGAGGAUCCGAAGGUAGCGAAAUUCAUUGACGCAUAAUUGGUGUCCUGCAUGAAUGAUUACACGAUGCGACAACUGUAUCCAUAGUAGACUCAGUGAAAUAGCACUCGCGGUGAAGAUGCCGUGUACCCGUAGGUUGACAAAAAGACCCUAUGCAGCUUUACUAUAUCUUUAUUUUGAUUUAAAUAUUAUAUAUCUCAGUAGAUUAGGUUAUAUUUAUUAUUUUAAAUAAAAUGAGAUACCUAUAUAUAUAAUUCUAGAAUCUAAUUUAUAUGACCCAAUCUAAUAGAUUGGGUUACUUAAGACAGAGUAAAGAAGUUAGUUUCGAUGGGGCGUCGACAUCAGCGAAAGCAUCUGAUGUGUCUAAUAAUAUUUAUAAUUUAUAUUUUAAUAUAAAUUUUUAUAAUUAUUACAUUAAAUUUAUUAUAUAAUAGUAAAUUACGUACAAUAGUAACUAUAUGGUAAAUAGUAUAAAUAAUGUUUAUAUGCAAGGAUAACAACAUAAUUGUGCGAUGAUAAUAACACUAACAAGUGGAAUUAGUACUUACGUAGAGUGUAGUGAACAGGCAUAAUCAAUUGAUAUGGAUGUCGAUAACGGAUUAAAGUUACGCUAGGGAUAACAGGGUAAUACCGCGUGAGAGUUGAUAUCGUCAGCGGUGUUUGCCACCUCGAUGUCGUCUAGACUCGUCCUCCUGGUCGCAGCAACUAGGUAGGGUAGGACUGUUCGUCCUCUAAGGAGUUACUUGAGAUGGGUUAAUUACGACGUGAGUCAGUAAUGAUUUUAUCAUCUAUGGGAUUUUUCUUAUCUGUUGCCUCAAGUGUACGAAAGGAUAGUGAGGUGCUUUCCAAUGGUUUUUUGUAUAUAUAUAUUUCGCUUUUUUUAAGCGAAAGGAUAUACAUUUUAGCUAAGAAGGUUGCGGAUAAAUAUUGAAAGCAUCUCAAAUAUUAAGCCCUUCAGAUAAGAUUUAACAUAUUAGACUAAUAUGUUAUAGUAAAUAUAUAUUUAUAUAUAUAUUAAACUAAUUAUUUUUAUUCAUAUACCUACAAUAUAUCAUAUAUAUCUCCU